CCUACGGGAGGCAGCAGUAGGGAAUAUUGCUCCAUGGGGGAAACCCUGAAGCCGCGACGCCGCGUGGAGGAUGAAGGUUUUCGGAUUGUAAAUUCCUUUUGUUAGAGAAGAUAAUGACGGUAUCUAACGAAUAAGCACCGGCUAACUCCGUGCCAGCAGCCGCGGUAAUACGGAGGGUGCAAGCGUUACUCGGAAUCACUGGGCGUAAAGAGCGCGUAGGCGGGCUAGCAAGUCAGAUGUGAAAUCCUAGGGCUUAACCAUAGAACUGCAUUUGAAACUGUUAUUCUAGAGUAUGGGAGAGGUAGGUGGAAUUCUUGGUGUAGGGGUAAAAUCCGUAGAGAUAAAGAGGAAUACUCAUUGCGAAGGCGACCUGCUAGAACAUAACUGACGCUGAUGCGCGAAAGCGUGGGGAGCAAACAGGAUUAGAUACCCCUGUAGUC
rnacentral:rRNA from 1 species